rnacentral:lncRNA from 1 species
GGAUUAACUUCCAAAAUUGAGCUUAUACGGGCAUCAAAAUGUUCCUUACCUGCACAUGAAAUAAAAUUAAAAUUAAAUUGUUGAAUUGGGGUGCAAUUAAAUUAUUACGGCAUAGAAUGUAUUUAAUCAAUUUAGGUAGAAUUGUAACUUAAUUAACCAAAAAUUAAUCAACAAUUUAAUAAUUUAAUUGAAUAAGUUAAGCUCAAAAUUGAACUUAACAAACUCCCCCAUACUUAAAUUAUUGAUCGUCCCUGAGCAAUCAAGUCGAAUAAAAUCAAGACGAAUUUCAAAAAUAUCAAGUCUAAUCCAGAGUUGUGUCAUCGCCCA